GAGUUUGAUCCUGGCUCAGAACGAACGCUGGCGGCGUGCUUAACACAUGCAAGUCGAACGCGAAAGGGACUUCGGUCCUGAGUAGAGUGGCGCACGGGUGAGUAACGCGUAAGUGAUCUACCCCUGUAUCUGGGAUAACUAUGGGAAACUGUAGCUAAUACCGGAUACGUUCAUGUUCUUGCGAGUAUAUGAAGAAAGAUGGCCUCUGAUUCAAGCUAUUGUACAGGGAGGAGCUUGCGUACCAUUAGCUAGUUGGUAGGGUAAUGGCCUACCAAGGCAACGAUGGUUAGCGGGUCUGAGAGGAUGAUCCGCCACACUGGAACUGAAACACGGACCAGACUCCUACGGGAGGCAGCAGUGAGGAAUAUUGCGCAAUGGGGGCAACCCUGACGCAGCGACGCCGCGUGGAUGAUGAAGGCCUUCGGGUCGUAAAAUCCUGUCAGAUGGAAAGAAGUGCGAGAUGGUUAAUACCCAUUUCGUUUGACGGUACCAUCAGAGGAAGCACCGGCUAACUCCGUGCCAGCAGCCGCGGUAAUACGGAGGGUGCAAGCGUUGUUCGGAUUUACUGGGCGUAAAGCGCGCGUAGGCGGUUUGUUAAGUCAGAUGUGAAAGCCCAGGGCUCAACCCUGGACGUGCAUUUGAAACUGGCAGACUUGAGUAUUGGAGGGGGUGGUGGAAUUCCCGGUGUAGAGGUGAAAUUCGUAGAUAUCGGGAGGAAUACCGGUGGCGAAGGCGACCACCUGGCCAAAUACUGACGCUGAGGUGCGAAAGCGUGGGGAGCAAACAGGAUUAGAUACCCUGGUAGUCCACGCCGUAAACGAUGAGAACUAGGUGUUGGGACGGUUGAUCGUCUCAUUGCCGCAGCUAACGCAUUAAGUCU
rnacentral:rRNA from 1 species